rnacentral:rRNA from 1 species
AAUAGAUACCCCGGUAGUCCACGCCGUAAACGUUGGGCGCUAGAUGUGGGGACCAUUCCACGGUUUCCGCGUCGUAGCUAACGCAUUAAGCGCCCCGCCUGGGGAGUACGGCCGCAAGGCUAAAACUCAAAGGAAUUGACGGGGGCCCGCACAAGCGGCGGAGCAUGCGGAUUAAUUCGAUGCAACGCGAAGAACCUUACCAAGGCUUGACAUAUGCGAGAACGCUCUAGAAAUAGAGAACUCUUUGGACACUCGUAUACAGGUGGUGCAUGGUUGUCGUCAGCUCGUGUCGUGAGAUGUUGGGUUAAGUCCCGCAACGAGCGCAACCCUCGUCGCAUGUUGCCAGCACGUAAUGGUGGGAACUCAUGUGAGACUGCCGGGGUCAACUCGGAGGAAGGUGGGGAUGACGUCAAAUCAUCAUGCCCCUUAUGUCUUGGGCUUCACGCAUGCUACAAUGGCCGGUACAAAGGGCUGCGAUACCGUAAGGUGGAGCGAAUCCCAAAAAGCCGGUCUCAGUUCGGAUUGGGUCUGCAACG